rnacentral:miRNA from 1 species
AGGAGAAUGACCGGGCAAAUCUUCUUUGGCAGGUUUCACACAAAAUAUAUGAUAGUGGUAAUUAAACUGCCAAACGAGAACAUGCCCCGUAAUGCAUCU